AGUCGGACGGCAGCGGGGUAGUGCUUGCACUACUGCCGGCGAGUGGCGAACGGGUGAGUAACAUAUCGGAACGUACCGAGCAGUGGGGGAUAACUAAUCGAAAGAUUAGCUAAUACCGCAUAUAUUCUGAGGAAGAAAGCAGGGGACCUUUGGGCCUUGCGCUGUUUGAGCGGCCGAUAUCUGAUUAGCUGGUUGGUGGGGUAAAGGCCUACCAAGGCGACGAUCAGUAGCGGGUCUGAGAGGAUGAUCCGCCACACUGGGACUGAGACACGGCCCAGACUCCUACGGGAGGCAGCAGUGGGGAAUUUUGGACAAUGGGGGCAACCCUGAUCCAGCCAUGCCGCGUGUCUGAAGAAGGCCUUCGGGUUGUAAAGGACUUUUGUCCGGGAAGAAAAGCGCGAUGUUAAUACCAUUGCGUGCUGACGGUACCGGAAGAAUAAGCACCGGCUAA
rnacentral:rRNA from 1 species